CUUCUCUGCCUUCUUCUCUUUCCUAAAACAGCCAAUUUGCCUUCCACUUAGAUUUGCUGUUGAACCUAACCUCUUGUUUCGUUACACAUUCUUUCUUGAUCUGUUUCAACUCUUUCUUUGUGGAUAGCAUGGCUAUGGAACCAAGCUUCUUUGAGCAUGAGGUACACUUUGAAUCUGAAGAUGUUGCACUUAAGCCAAAAUGGAAAUCCAUCUCAACCCCUACUGGCAUCUCAGAUGAUGAUGGUGAUUGUUUUGACUGCAACAUAUGCUUAGACUCGGCACAAGAUCCUAUUGUCACUCUUUGUGGUCAUCUGUAUUGCUGGCCAUGUAUUUACAAGUGGCUGCAAGUUCAAAGUUCUCCAGAUGCCAAUGAGCAGCAGCCAAGCUGCCCUGUUUGU
rnacentral:misc_RNA from 1 species